CAGAGUUCUAAGCUGUUGGGAAGGAGUUUCCAGGGAGAGUCUGGACCUGAAGGUGAAACUUGGAGGGUGUAUGUGCCUAGACUCUGCCUAGACAGGAUCAUCUUGAAAGCUGACUGCCUCUGAAAGAAACAUCAAGACUGAGAGAAGAUUUCCCAUACAUUUCUGGUGGACAGAGUGUUUAUGAAGGAGUCUUCUCUCUCUCCUCUGGGACACCUGAGGAUCCAAUAGCUGGAUGCCUCUUACUUAAUAUGCCAAGGACUCUACUUGUGAUAUUCUGGUCCCUGUUGAAUUUAUUCUUUAGUUUAGAAAUAACCAACAUAGCUUCAUUGCUCACUGCACUGUCACCACGACAUCCCCCUCCUAACCCUGAUCCUUCUUUCCAUGAAGAUUCACAUUCCAAAGUAGAGAAAAAAAGGAAAAAAAAGAAUGGAAAUAUCCAAGGGAAUGGAAUUCCAAAUUGAAGCAAACCAAAUCCAUCAAUACUUCAAGGGUCUGAGAUUGCAUAUAGGAAGAGGGACCCUCUCCUCCCACUCCCUACAAUUCUUCAGCUACAUCAGCCCAAGGCCAAGCUAAUGAGGAUGCCCUCCAAUUUAGGUUAACCCUAGGACCCGGGAUUUACAUUACGAUCCAGUACCUAAAGUUUUCCAACCUGGGAGGAUGCCAUAUUGGCAAGCUCAGGGUCACUGUGGUAGAUGUGUAAGAGAAAAAAUA
rnacentral:lncRNA from 1 species